GUCUGGGUGGCUCAGUUGGUUAAGCAUCUGACUUCUGCUCAGGUCAUGAUCUCGCAGUUUGUGAGUUUAAGUCCCACAUCAGGCU
rnacentral:tRNA from 1 species